GGGGGUACAGCUCAGUGGUAGAGUGUGUGCUUAGCAUGCACGAGGUCCUGCGUUCAAUCCCCAGUGCCAUCA
rnacentral:tRNA from 1 species